GGCUUCGUAGCGCAGCUUACCGCGUUUAGGUAUGGUGUUUCUGUCGUUGGUUCGAAUCCAGCCGAAGCCC